ensembl:lncRNA
CUGACUGACGCUGACGUACAGCCACGUGACUGGCUGGCAUGGGUCACGUGAGAGUUCAUAUCCUCCAAUCAGCAGGCUGCGCGGGAGUUCACGGCGGAGGCGCGAGGCCACCGGCUCGCUCCACUGCGUCCAGGAACAUAGAAACGAUGAUGUGGGAACAAUCUGCCGCUGUGGUUGCUGCGGAGGGUGCAGCCCUGGUCUCACGAGAGGCUGUGUGCUCACCAUUGCCCCAUCCCAGAAGUGAGAGAGUGCCCCUCCACCUACGCCCUUUCUCGUCACUGGGACCUGCAGUCACCGGCUGUCUGCUGACUGAACUGGAAGGGCAGGACGCCCGCUCCUGGGGACAGUUUCGAGGUGCCCUAGGCAUGUGGCGACCCAACCCAACCCAACCUAGGCGCCAGGAUGAAGGAAAUGCCUUCUGAAGUUGAAGAUGGGAGUCUUCAGGUCAGACGCAUCAGAGCCCCAAGGCAGUGGGCGGAAGCUGUGAGUGUCAUGUCAGGAUGCUGGACCGUCUCCAGGGCUUCCUGAGGGUGGGCUUCAGAGGCUGGCAGUCACUUCUGUGAAGUGUUUGGACUUCCCACAGUAUCAGAUGUACUCACAAUGAAAGAACCACAGGGUACGCCAAAGUCAAGCUGUAAAUUACUUGUAUUUUAUACAUUUGGGGUUGUCUGUUUUACUCUUUCUCUCCAUUCAGAUGUCAGGUUUGCUGUCAGUGAGCCCAUUUAUUCAGUCUGAAGCGUGGAUUAGGGACUUCCUGUGUGGUCAGUCCAGUCGUUAAGACUGCAUUCCCAAUGCAGGGGGCAUAGGUUCAGUCCCUGGUCAGAGAACUAAGAUCCUGCAAGCCAUACCGUGUGGUCAAAAUAAAAAAAUAAAGUGCAGAUGACAAUGACCUGAUUCCACAUGGCCACCCGUGAACACAGAAAAAGUCUGGAGGGAGCCCGACUGAGCAGAAAUAACCUAGCAAAGAAUGUUAUAUUUCCUCUGACUCCAGAAAAUAACAGUUGUCCACAUCAGUGUCAUCUGUGCUUCAGAAAAUCAGGUUAGACAAUGAUUAAUGAAGCUGAAUAGCCAAUGGUGUCUAAAUAAAUGUCCUUUUGCUCUUCAGAGCCUUGUACUCCCCCGUUUGUACUUUAUUGCUUCAGAUUUUCUAAGGCCUUUGGCCUUACCCUUUGCUAAGCCAGGUUAGGGGACGAUAAGGAC